GCAGCUCUAUAUUGCGGAAUAAUCGAAGCUCCCAAAGGCAUCGGCGAUCUCUUUUCUUAUUGCCAAGGAACCCUCGGAGGGAGGUGUUAGAAGUAGAUGUUCAUAACAGGGUCCAUCGUCGGAAAGUCCAACAUCCUCCGCAUCUCGAAGAUCACGAUGCCCAGAGACCACCAAUCUGCAGAUCUUGAAUACGGCAGCCUGGAGAGGACUUCGGGAGCCAUGUAGUCAUAGGUUCCAGUCAGGCUGCGUGUUCUGUCCCCAUAGCCAAUUCCUGCAAAAACAGUAACUGAUCUUCAGGGCAUACGAUCUUUUUGAUGCCGUGUGUUGCACAUGGAGAACCUGGAAUGAGAGAAUAUAUUGAGGGAAUUUUGAAGAAACACAGGAAGAUACAUGCAGAACCUCCAAACCCCUUGCAGAGAGCUCCAAGAAUCCAUCUUGCCCCCAACAUUGCAAGUUGCAGGUUGUACUGUAUCUUACUCUGGUUCCGUCGUCACAGCCGGUGGAAAGUCUUCUGCUGUGUUUUCUGGAUGAGUUGAGCCGAUGUUCACUUCAUCCGCAGACAUCUCACUAUAGGGAAAAUAAUCACUAAAACUGUUGGCCAAGCCCUCCAGCUCCAGUGAGGAGCAAAUCUGCUGGUGUCAGUAGCUGCUACUUCUCAAUCUCUCUCUGCACUGAAAUGUCACCAGGCUCAAGAUUUUAUUCUCCACUGGAGUGUUCGUGUGGGAAUUGUUCAGCAAGAGCAAAAUUCCAUUUGAACAUUGUUUUCAACUCCGAGGCUGUGGAUAAAAUCUCAGCUGGACUGAGGCUCUUCAGACCCAAGAUGUCUCCCGAAAGAGUGUACAUGCUGAUGAACAACUGCUGGUAAGAGUUUAUGGAAUGAAUUGACGCGCGGCACAGUCCGGAACUGAUCAGUGCAAGGGAGCCGGCUUAUGAAAAAAGAAUGUCAAUUGGACACUUUUGUAACACGUUAUGAGCACUUCAAGCACUUGCACAGCACUGGCAUCUUGUGGUGGAUUUUAGGAAUAUGCCAGUAAGAAGCAGAAGAAAAGAGAAGGAUGAAGCAGAAGGGAUAGAAUUG